rnacentral:rRNA from 1 species
AGAGUUUGAUCCUGGCUCAGAGUGAACGCUGGCGGCGUGCCUAACACAUGCAAGUCGAACGAUGAAACCUAGCUUGCUAGGUGGAUUAGUGGCGCACGGGUGAGUAAUAGAUAGCUAAUAUGCCUCUUGGAGAGGGACAACAGUUGGAAACGACUGCUAAUACCUCAUACUCCUGCUUUUCAUAAGAAGAGUAGGGAAACGAUUUUUUGCCAAGAGAUUAGGCUAUCUCCUAUCAGGUAGUUGGUGAGGUAAAGGCUCACCAAGCCAAUGACGGGUAUCUGGUUUGAGAGGAUGAUCAGACACACUGGAACUGAGACACGGUCCAGACUCCUACGGGAGGCAGCAGUGGGGAAUAUUGCACAAUGGAGGGAACUCUGAUGCAGCAACGCCGCGUGGAGGAUGACGGUUUUCGGAUUGUAAACUCCUUUUAUAUGAGAAGAUAAUGACGGUAUCAUAUGAAUAAGCACCGGCUAACUCCGUGCCAGCAGCCGCGGUAAUACGGAGGGUGCAAGCGUUACUCGGAAUCACUGGGCGUAAAGAGAGUGUAGGCGGCUUUACAAGUCUUGUGUGAAAUCCUAUGGCUUAACCAUAGAACUGCAUGAGAAACUGUAAAACUAGAGUAUGGAAGAGGAAGAUGGAAUUAGUGGUGUAGGGGUAAAAUCCGUAGAGAUCACUAGGAAUACCGAAAGCGAAGGCGAUCUUCUGGGACAUUACUGACGCUGAGACUCGAAAGCGUGGGGAGCAAACGGGAUUAGAUACCCCGGUAGUCCACGCCCUAAACGAUGAAUGCUAGUCGUCGGGGAGCUGUCUCUUCGGUGAUGCAGUUAACACAUUAAGCAUUCCGCCUGGGGAGUACGGUCGCAAGAUUAAAACUCAAAGGAAUAGACGGGGACCCGCACAAGUGGUGGAGCAUGUGGUUUAAUUCGAAGAUACGCGAAGAACCUUACCCGGCCUUGAUAUCCCAAGAAUAGUCCAGAGACGGACUAGUGCUAGCUUGCUAGAACUUGGUGACAGGUGCUGCACGGCUGUCGUCAGCUCGUGUCGUGAGAUGUUGGGUUAAGUCCCGCAACGAGCGCAACCCCCGUGAAUAGUUGCUAACAGUUCGGCUGAGCACUCUAUUCAGACUGCCUUCGCAAGGAGGAGGAAGGUGGGGACGACGUCAAGUCAUCAUGGCCCUUAUGGCCGGGGCAACACACGUGCUACAAUGGUAUGUUACAAUGAGAGGCAAUACCGCGAGGUGGAGCAAAUCUAUAAAACAUAUCUCAGUUCGGAUUGCAGUCUGCAACUCGACUACAUGAAGCCGGAAUCACUAGUAAUCGCAGAUCAGCUAUGCUGCGGUGAAUACGUUCCCGGGUCUUGUACUCACCGCCCGUCACACCAUGGGAGUUGAUUUCACCCGAAGCCGGGAAGCUAACCUUCGGGAGGCUACCGUCCACGGUGGAAUCAGCGACUGGGGUGAAGUCGUAACAAGGUAACCGUA